UACAGAGGUCUCAAGCGUUGUUCGGAUUCAUUGGGCGUAAAGGGUGCGUAGGCGGCGCGGUAAGUCGGGUGUGAAAUCUCGGAGCUUAACUCCGAAACUGCAUUCGAUACUGCCGUGCUUGAGGACUGGAGAGGAGACUGGAAUUUACGGUGUAGCGGUGAAAUGCGUAGAUAUCGUAAGGAAGACCAGUGGCGAAGGCGGGUCUCUGGGCCGAUAUCGACGCUGAGGAGCGAAAGCGUGGGGAGCGAACAGG
rnacentral:rRNA from 1 species